rnacentral:rRNA from 1 species
UACGUAGGGGGGCAAGCGUUGUCCGGAUUUACUGGGCGUAAAGGGCGCGUAGGUGGCCUGCUAAGCGUGCGGUGAAAGUCGGGGGCUCAACCCCCGAUCGGCCGUGCGAACUGGGAGGCUUGAGCACUGUAGAGGCAGGCGGAAUUCCGGGUGUAGCGGUGGAAUGCGUAGAGAUCCGGAAGAACACCGGUGGCGAAGGCGGCGACCUGGUCCUUUUACUGACGCUGAGGCGCGAAAGCGUGGGGAGCAAACAGG